GGAUCCCAUCAGAACUCCGAAGUUAAGCGUGCUUGGGCGAGAGUAGUACUAGGAUAGGUGACCUCCUGGGAAGUACUCGUGUUGCAUUCCCC
rnacentral:rRNA from 1 species